CUCUUUUCGUGUAUGUGGAAAGUAUAACCUGCCCACUGACUAAGGUUGAAGGGCCGCGGUAAUUUGACCGUGCAAAGGUAGCAUAAUCAUUAGUUUCUUAAUUGGAGGCUGGAAUGAAUGGUUGGACGAAAUACAUACUGUCUUGUAAUUUGUGUUAGAAUUUAAUAUUUAAGUAAGAAAGCUUAAAUUUUUUUGUGGGACGAGAAGACCCUAUAGAGUUUAAUAAUUUAUGUUAUAUAUUGGGUUUGAUUUAAUUAGAUUAUAAACGUGAUUAUUUUGUUGGGGUGACAGAAAGAUAAUAUAAACUCUUUUUUUUGUGAAAAUUGAUGUAUAGAAUUUGGAUCCACUUUUAGUGAUUAUAAGACUAAAUUACCUUAGGGAUAACAGCGUAAUCUUUUUUGAGAGUUCAAAUCGACAAAAGGGGUUGCGA
rnacentral:rRNA from 1 species